rnacentral:rRNA from 1 species
AUUGAACGCUGGCGGCAUGCUUUACACAUGCAAGUCGAGCGGCAGCGCGGGGGCAACCCUGGCGGCGAGCGGCGAACGGGUGAGUAAUGCAUCGGAACGUGUCCCGUAGUGGGGGAUAACCCGGCGAAAGCCGGGCUAAUACCGCAUAUGCUCUACGGAGGAAAGGGGGGAGUCCGCAAGGACCUCUCGCUAUGGGAGCGGCCGAUGUCCGAUUAGCUUGUUGGUGGGGUAAUGGCUUACCAAGGCGACGAUCGGUAGCUGGUCUGAGAGGAUGAUCAGCCACACUGGGACUGAGACACGGCCCAGACACCUACGGGUGGCAG